UGAAAAUUUAUGUACUUUGAUCCAAUUCUUUCUAUGUAUACCAACUGUUUACUGACCGUAUACAAGCCAUCUUUUGUUGAAUUUUUCUAUAUACAUGUACGUACAUGACUAUAUGUUGGUUAUAUAUCAGUCCAAUAUGGAUUAUGGACUUCGUAAUUGGCAUUUUUAAUUUUUGACUUAUUCUCCAUCUUCUGCAUCUGUAUAUCAGCAUCUUUGACUAUUU
rnacentral:lncRNA from 1 species